rnacentral:rRNA from 1 species
UACGUAGGGGGCAAGCGUUGUCCGGAUUUAUUGGGCGUAAAGAGCUUGUAGGCGGUUUGUCGCGUCUGCUGUGAAAAUCCGGGGCUCAACCCCGGACUUGCAGUGGGUACGGGCAGACUAGAGUGUGGUAGGGGAGACUGGAAUUCCUGGUGUAGCGGUGAAAUGCGCAGAUAUCAGGAGGAACACCGGUGGCGAAGGCGGGUCUCUGGGCAACAACUGACGCUGAGGAGCGAAAGCGUGGGGAGCGAACAGG